UAUUUUAGAUUUCCACAUGUAGG
rnacentral:piRNA from 1 species